ACGGGCGGUGAGUGCAACUGACGCUGAGGCUCGAAAGUGUGGGUAUCAAACAGGAUUAGAUACCCUGGUAGUCCACACAGUAAACGAUGAAUACUCGCGGUUGGUUCGUUAGAGUCAGCCGCCAAGCGAAAGCGUUAAGUAUUCCACCUGGGGAGUACGCCGGCAACGGUGAAACUCAAAGGAAUUGACGGGGGCCCGCACAAGCGGAGGAACAUGUGGUUUAAUUCGAUGAUACGCGAGGAACCUUACCCGGGCUUGAACUGCCAGUGACUCAUGCAGAGACGCAUGUUUCUUCGGACACUGGCGGAGGUGCUGCAUGGUUGUCGUCAGCUCGUGCCGUGAGGUGUCGGCUUAAGUGCCAUAACGAGCGCAACCCUUCUCCCUGUUUGCCAUCGGGUUAAGCCGGGCACUCCAGGGACACUGCCAUCGUAAGAUGUGAGGAAGGUGGGGAUGACGUCAAAUCAGCACGGCCCUUACGUCCGGGGCUACACACGUGUUACAAUGGGCGGUACAGAAAGCAGCUACCCCGCGAGGGGAUGCCAAUCUCAAAAACCGUUCUCAGUUCGGACUGGAGUCUGCAACCCGACUCCACGAAGCUGGAUUCGCUAGUAAUCGCGCAUCAGCCAUGGCGCGGUGAAUACGUUCCCGGGCCUUGCACACACCGCCCGU
rnacentral:rRNA from 1 species